UAUAUAUAUAGCUGCACAGUCCCAAGCUGCUAAAACACUCCUCACUUUCACUCUCGCCUCACAGGACGAAUGCUCCAAACACAUUACUUAGAGGCAAGGCCUGUGAUCUCAGAAUAACCGUGCCCCGUUUCUCGUAUUGGUCACUGACAAAACGGGGUGUCACCCCCCUCCCCUCCACCCCGGUCCCUUUCUACAGUGGCGGAGGAGUUCGCUCGCCUUUGUACGAAAUUACGAUUUUUCCGCUUUUUUUUUUCUUGCUUCUAGAUUGAAUUACGGAAUGAAUAAAGGCAGGAGCUCUGAACUGAGCGGUUUUUAUCUGUAGUUUAUAGUAAUUUUGAUUUCAGUAUAAUCUGAAUGAAAGCAUCGUACGGCUGGGCCAAUAAUCCGUACAACUGGACCCAACUCUGUGACUCUGACUCUGCCAUCACCCACAGUCUCAAUAAAUUCAGUAUGACCUAGUUUUUACUUGAAAAUUCAGUCUUAAAUGUAUUGCACAUUUUUGACUUCAAUUUGCAAACAGUUUUCCGGGAACUUGAAUAUUAUUUUCACGAUGUGGAGGAUGCUCGGAAUAUAACCGACUAUGCUCCGUUUCCUGCUGCGGGUGGAGUUUUCAACAUAAUCCGAUUGUUUCAAAAAGCGAUUAAAACGCAGCCAAAGUCCCGUGUUGAAGAUCUGAAGGUUCACGCAUUUUGAAUUCGGUACCUUAUUUAAUGAAUCGCUGAAAAAAAACCAUCGUUACAAAUUGGGAGAAAGUGGCAUUUACAUAUCACCCUUAUCAUAUCUGUCUCCAAAUGUAUCACAAACAAAGUUCAGUGUUUGCUGUGUGGUUGAACAGCGCCAAACUUGGUGCUGAUUUUAAUCAUGUUUUUUGGUUCAUAUGUCCGCAGCCGAGUGCACACUUGAGGCGCAGAGGACACUGACUAGGUGAUAUGAGCACAGGUUAUCCUACUAAAUGUUAUCGCUCUAUAACCUUAACCUUGCUUAACCCUUCAAUGUCGCCUUUAGACUUCACACCAUUUACUCCUAAAUCUUAAUCCUCGCACAAUCUCUUUAACAUUCACCUCACUAACCCGAAGCGACACCAUGGGCGGGUUCAGCCCAGCCUCCACGCUGCAGUGUGUCAGUCUGCGAAUUAUAAUUACCUCAGGAGAUAUUUCUCAAGUGUUUCAAAUGUCAUUCUGCAAAUGUCAGUUUCCUUUCAAAUAUUUCGUAGCUGUUCUUUAUAUCAGAACAAACUCUCUUGGCUGCAGGUGGAAAAUAUACUUUGUUAUACACGCCAGCUACAUUAAUUCAGAUAUGAACGUGCUCUUGGUAACUAAAAUUACAUUUAUUGAUGUGCUUACGUCCCUAACUCUGUAUAGAUGCAUUUAUUUACGUCUGGCAAUCUGUAUGCACCAAGGUCUGAAUUUAUGCAGUUCUAUAUUUAACCAUAGGCAUUGUUCAUUGUGCAUUCAUUUAACUAAUCCAAACAAAAUACAAGUACAGUAAGAAAAAAGCUAUACUGGAGUGUAGUGAUUUUUCGAUACCAGUUUCUGCCUCUUAAGUGCCAUACGUUGCAAGCAUGUGAUAAUUGGGAUUGCUAUUUCUUAGAUCAAAGGUUGGUAUAAACGCCAUGCUUGGAUUAAGAAUUCUAUUGGACGAGGUUGAUCUUCAGAAAUAUUUUAGCGCUGCACUGCGUUUAUACAUGUGUAUAUUCAGCUGUGUGUGAGUAUACUGCGGUGUGCUUUUCGGGGCAUGUGUAUCUAUCUAUUUACGUGCACAAAUACCAUCGUCUGACUCUCUGCCUCCAUGCGCAUUGAUAUGUAAACGUAUAUACAGAGAUACUGUGCCGUGUCAAAUCACAACCCCACAUGAUAACGAUGUUUACUGGACACCCAUUAAUAGCAUUAAGAGGUUGAUGUCAGUUACUAGCAUGGCUUAGUUAUCAAAUAUAUCACUCAAGACUUUUUAAUGUUGAAAGUGAUUAGCAAGUGAAUUCGUACAGCCAAGCAAAAGAAUCUUACAAUAAUGACAAAACAAAGCGGAUAUACUGGCGAUAUCUGCGUGUGCUGUGAGACUCCGCACUGGAAUAGGAAAUUUGUUUCGGUUAGCAGUUGUUAUUGUUUUAACUAUUUAAGUCGUUAACGUUUAGACUGCUUUCUGCACUCCACUUUUAACUUUGCGUCCCAGCAUUGCUCUUUAUUUUUUUUUCAAGUCGGGUUUGACCCGCUUGUCCAUUUAAUUGUGAAAUGAGCACACUCACAGCAACACAUAACCUGCAUUUACCACUAGAUGCCCUUAGUUCCUGUUGCAGAUGGCACGAAGUGUAAGCUUUCCCUAAUACCUGAUGCCAGUGGAGCUGCUUAGCUCCAAUAUUGCCUUUAAUCAGUUCUUUUUUCGUGAAUAGACUAUUGGUGUCUGUAAUUGAAAUCCUCCAAAGCCCAAACUGCCUUAAGUAAUAAUAAGGCGUUUCUGUUAGGGAAGGAAACCAGUUUUGUUGUUGCACCAGUCUUUAUUAAAGAUGAAAAGUUACAUAACUAAUGAUUUAAAAGAAAACAUUGCUUGGUGCAAAAUGUUCUGCUGUACUGCUAAAUUAGUUGGCCGUUAGACAGUACAGCAUAGUCAAAAAAUAUGUAUUAUGUUUAAUAUUUUCAAGGUCCAAUCUCAAAAAGACACGGUCCUGUUUUUACUGCCAAGAUGACAGUUGAAGCGACCAAAUUGCAAAAUACAACAGACAGGCGGGACUUCGGACACUUUAGUCGGAGUGGUAAGAGUGCUUUUGUUUUCUUCAGUCAUUUUGUUUUAUCUUAUCACUUGUUUUUUAGUUCUAGUUUCAACUCUGUAUUCUUGCAAUUGCUUCGAUUUCUCCCCCCCCCCCACCCCCAAUAACCCUCUGAGGGCAUCAGUAAUGUUAACCCCACAACGAACAACUGAUUAAUGUUAAAAAAAACAUUCCGCCCUCCCCAAAAUAACCUCUCAGCCCACCGGAGAAAACGGGGGCGGAUGGGGGAGUGGGGUGGAAGCUUCUCGUUAACGGAAUUGCAAGAUAAAGAGGCGGUUUCAAGAGUGUUAAACUGCACUUGCUCGGGUAGCCGCCACGAUUUCCCACAAAGACUCUCUGGCUUUAAUCCUGACUGAUUUCGCCAUCUGUCUAACUUCCAUGAGGAAUAAGCUGUCUGAUGUUUGAUAAUCAUCAUAGUCGAUUGAAACCACCGCGAUCUCACGUCCCUAUGUCGGACAAAUAAAGAUAAAGUAUUCAAUAUAUCAUUAGGCAUGCUAACAAUUAUUGGUGUCUAGAGUUUUUCCGAAUGGAAUGAUAGAAAAUGGACUUAAAUGACCGAGGGGUCAUUGAGUGUCAGUCCUGAACGUUUAGUAAAACCAACAGAACUAUUAGGGAACUAAUAGAAUUGACCAUCCUGCCCAGUAAAUGAGGCCCAAAUAUUAACCCCUUUAAAAUGUACUGAAAACCAUGGAGGCCCACGUUUGAAAUGAGCCCCAUAAGCCAUUUUCUGGACGUGCCUGUCCCGUCAAAGCCACAAACAAGUCCCUAUGUCGGAGUUCCAAUCGUCAUAGCCCACACCCACUGACUAUUGUACAGACCAUGCAAUGGUAUUUUCACUGUUCAAACUAACUCCGAGGUCUGCAACGGAUAGAACCUGCAGCUUCCCAGCAGGAAGACAAGAAAAAACACCAUUGAUAAAUAAAUACAUUGGGAGAAAUAGAAUCGCCAGCCCUUCGGCCAAACCACCCACCCACCCCGCCGGGUGAACAAAUCCGACCCAAUUAUUUCAAUUAGAAAUAGCCGUGUCUCCAUUUCUUUUAACGUUCUUUGCUCCGAUUCCAUUGGAUUUAACAAGAGACGCAAAUUAGGGACGCGGCGCACACCCGUUGGGAUAUCUGGGAAAACAGCCAUGGAAAUUCCGGACUGAAGGGAGAAAAAAGGCGGUUCAUUUAGAGCGAGUUUGUGGAUUAUAUAAGAUAAAAUCUGGUCAAUGCCAAGUGUAAAUUAGAAACCGUGCGGAACAAUACAAUCGAACCAAAACGCGUUGACGGGCGGAUCACAAAAUAUGAAGGGGUUUUAAAGCCUUUACAUUUAGACAAAAUUGACGUCUGCAGGCUAUUUAUAUGAUUGUCUUUUUCUGCGUUUAGACAUUUUCAAACGUUACUUCCAAUAUUACACUUCCAUAACGCCCAUCUUUAACUAUUUAUGACCUAUUAUGAAGCAAUAAUAACGCACUUCCUAUCAUGAUCCUGUGACGGUGCAAGCGUGGAAUAGAAUGGUCAAAAGCUAAUUAUCGCUCCUUACACGACGAAAGCAAUUCCGUUCGAUUUUUUUUUGCCGUACGGAGAAUCGGUGCUUGCCCCACAUCCGAGUGCUUCAAGCUGCACUUGCUAUCGAAAAUAUUACUGAAUGAAUUCCGUGGCUUGCUGUCGAAAAGAAACAUGAAAGGAAGAAUCGAAUUGUUUUUUUUACUGACCACUUGGAAACAAAAUAUCAGGAAGGAGUCGUUCACCGCUCCCGGGAUAAACGUAGAGCUUGGUAUGGUCACACGGAGGGUUUGGAUAUAACAUUCUAUCUCUGGUGGUUCCAGACUGGCCUGUCCUGCCGAGGUGGGAACGGAUGAGAGCGGGCCCUGUGGACAGUGCGGAAACCCAAUCUCACAUACAGUAGCGCCAAGGCUUCAGCUCCAUCUGGGAUCUGUCACACUGACAGCGCCAUAGGUCAGAGAGAGAGAGAGAGAGAGAGACUCUCCAAAAACACACCACAGCAUCUCCCGAAAUAUCAGACCAUGCACCCACUUUGGCAGCGUCCAACACCACUCACUCUCCUGUAGCUUCACCUUCAACGGCCCAUCAGAAGUUAACAAGGAGACGAACCUUCGGCUAUCCCCAUAUGGACACAUUAGUUUUUCAUUUGCCCCGGCCAUUGACAGCAGUUUUAAUUAUCAUAUAUCGAACACACCUUGAUGGAAAACAAGCAUUGGGUGUAUUUUUUAAAUGUUAAAAUGUAACCAAACAUGGGCAAUACAACACUAAUCCAAAUGGCACCCAAAUGUUAUUGUGGAUUGUGCAGUGCCAAAUUUGUGUUUUCCAACUCCUAAUGGCCUUGUUCCUACCAAUAGCUCUCUUCACAGAUAUAAAAAGUCCCAUUGUUAACUCAUCAAAUGUGUAUUGACCUGGUGCCUCAGUAUAUAUGCACUGAGUGUAUAUAGUGUAUAUAUACACAAUAUAAUACAUAUCUAUAUACACAGUAUAUAUAGUAUAUAGAUUUUUCAGACUCACUAGUUUUCUCUUAGAAAUAGCUCUAUAUAUAAAACACUUAAAUUUCCAUUUUAACUCAUUAAAUGUCUACAGAUAUGGAGUCUCAAAUGUGUGUAGAUGGUUAAAGAAAGAAAAUAAAAAUAUAGGCACAAUGUAGAUGUGUAGACAUUGAAUGAGUUAAGAAUAGAAAUUACUUCAAAUCACUUCAUAAGAACACCCUCGCAGGCAUUUUGUUCACAUGUACACUCCACUCCAUAUAUUGUGCAGACCCACUGUGGGCACAUUCCUGGCAAUGUCCUGAUAUAUGGAAGUCGUUAUCUGACCCCAGGUUUGCUCCUCGCAUACUUAGUGCCGGCACAGUCAAUUUUGUUUAUAUCUGAGCCCGGUUAUGAUGAGCAAUUGUUUCAGCAGCCUCCAACUCAGUGUCGACAAACAAGAAAUCCAACUGCAAUUUUGGAUAAUGUACAGUUAGAAUUUCAUUUUCCCUGUUACACUUCAUUUCCCUAACUGCUUUGACCGAAUUACACAGAGUUUAGAGAAGAUUACGCAAGGAUGUAAUUAACAACGUGAAUGUCGAGAGAAGUGUGAUUAACGUUGACUUUUGUAUUUUUUGGAUGAUCUGUAAUUAUCAUCAUUACCACCAUUCAAUGUUUUACCUGUGAGACGAAGACUAGGUGGUCAGUAGUAUUAUUAUAUCAUGAAUAUACUCUUCCACAAAGGCUCCUUUACUAUGAGAUUAUUAAUGAAUCCUGUCUCAACACAGAAUACUAUUGUUAUCUAGUUGCUUUCUCAACCUAUUAGAGUCGUUAUUGAGUUGGUCAGACAAAUUAGCGUCCGUAAACUUUACCUCGAUUUUUUAAACCUUUAAGAAAGUUGUGUUUAAUAAUCUGUCAGACUAAGAGUCAUAAUUAAAAACCAUUCUAACUGCAAA